rnacentral:rRNA from 1 species
UACGAAGGGGGCUAGCGUUGUUCGGAAUUACUGGGCGUAAAGCGCGCGUAGGCGGCUUCUCAAGUCAGGGGUGAAAGCCCAGAGCUCAACUCUGGAAUUGCCUUUGAGACUGAGUGGCUUGAGUACGAGAGAGGUGAGUGGAAUUCCCAGUGUAGAGGUGAAAUUCGUAGAUAUUGGGAAGAACACCGGUGGCGAAGGCGGCUCACUGGCUCGUAACUGACGCUCAUGCACGACAGCGUGGGGAUCAAACAGG